GUGUGGCUAGUAGAAAAUUUAAAAUUACUUAUGUGUCUCAUUUUGAUUGGACAGUGCUGCCUAUAAAUUGAGUCUCUCUCUCUUGCUUUCUGUCUCUUUCCCUGGAUUUGUGAUAGUCCUGUAACUAAUUCUCUUAGUGGUUAAGAUGGUGGGAGAUCGGCAAUAGGACCAAGUGCAUAGUAUGCAGGCCUUAGUGCAGAAUGAAAAUGUGGAGCCCUUGAUAAAAAUUUAGAAUUUUAAUAAGGCUAUAGAGGAACAUUAAAACAAGUGUGGGGCUGUUAUAUAUGUGAAGCCCUAUGAGAUUGCACAGAUCUAACACCCAUAAAGUUGGAGCUGAUUGGUAACUGCCAAUUUGAGAACUACUGAGCCAGAACAUGAGAGUCACUAAGGGCUAUUACUCCAGGGACCUUCUAAAAAGAAAAUGAAAAGUUUGAAAUAUUUGUUACUUUACCUGUCAUUUCCCAGUUCUCAAUUUAGACCACAAAACUCAGAUUCAUCUCAAGUCAGCAAGUAAAACAGCAAUAAUAGAUGGCUAGAAAUAAAGCUUCAAAAAUUACUCUGAAACUCUUGAUAACAUUUAUGCUUUAAAAUUGCAAUUUUAAGUUUUCUUGCAGAUAUUUUAUUAUAUAGAGCAUCAGAGACUUGGUUGUCAGCUUAUAUUAAGUGCUUUUGAAUGGCAGAAUUCAAACAAGAAAAUAACUUUAAAAAGCCUGUCUAUACGAGGUAGUUAAGAAGAAGAUAAUAAUUAUCUGUAAUGCUGAGGAAGUAUUUGUUUAACACAAAUGAUAAAAGGGCUUGGGUUCUGAAAUCUGUAGACCAGCUAAGUUUACCUUAUAUUUGUGAAAAUGCAUUGGUGGUUGUGUUUUAAAUCAAAGAGACAACUGUUGCACAGUGUUGGUGACAAGGCAUCUUGUCUGAGCUUUACUACAGCAACAUAACAUCCAGGGCUUCCUUCAGUUUGAACUUUUACUGACUCUGUGAACUUAAAAGAAGUCAUAUUGUGCCCCUCUCUUAAGAUUAAUUUAUUCAGUGAUAAGGUGAGUGAUGGUAAGCCAGGUACCUAUCCAAUCACAGUAAAUACUAAGUUCCAGUACAAACUGAGCAACAGAUCAUAUUUCAGAGUGCUGGAGCUGGAGCACAGGAAUAUUGCUAUAGAGAGGGAAAAUUCCCAAAUGUAAAUCUUUGUGUGAUGUGACUAAAAAUAUGGGGAGAAUAUGUAUUAAAUAUAUGAAUAAAUUAAUAAAAUGAAAUUGAUUAAAGAAGAAUAAAGGCAGUUAUUUUUUCCAGAAACCCUACAUCUGGUGUGAUUAGACCGUAGUGAGUUCUUCAGAGCUCAAAGCUUCCACCUAUGAAUAUUUUCUUCAAUAAACAUUUUUUCCUUUGCCUCACUGGUUGCCAAUAGAAACAUCUGCCUGGAGGACUCAGUUUAGCCAAGUCUCUCUCGUUUUUUUUUUCUUUACAAGUCUUGAAAGAAUAUUUUGGCCUUCUUUCCUCUGAUUAGUUUCCAAAAUAGCAGUGGGAAUUUAAAUUAUAAUCAACUUUUAUCCAGUUCCUGCUAAAUUCAUCAAGAAAAGACUUAGAAUAUGAAUCAGGUACAAUUGUUGGGUUUCCUUGAACUUCACUAACCAUCCAUUCAUUCCUCAAGGAAGACAAAAGCUCAUUUCUCCAAAAAAUGAGUGUUGAAUUGAAUUCUAUUUUUUUGUCCAGAAUUUUUUUUCCUUUAUCAGUCUCACUUGUCUGGACUGUGCUUAACUAAAUAAAACAAUACAUCUUUACACCAAAUUCCACAAUGUGGUUUGCUAAAGUAUGUCUUUUCUUCCUCCACCACCCUGCCUCUUACUUAAACUUCAUUUACUUUGACCCCAAAGUGUCUAGAAUCAAUAUAUUUGUACAAAGUUAGCUGGUUUUGGGGAUGAUUCUCUAUCUUGCCAUUUUUACAUGAGAGCAAGUUAGCUUAAAAACGUGGAGGCAAACCAACAGAUGAUAUCAACAAUUUCCUCCUGCUGCUACAAAUAGGAUGUUAACCUAUUUUUAAAAUAGAUUUAUUUUUAAAAUUUUGUUUUCAAAAUAGAUUUAUUUUAAAAAUUUUAUUUUCAUAAUAGUUGAACAUCAUCCUAUUUAGUAGUUUAAAAUCUUAAAAUGUUUUGUUUUUUUUUUUCUAUUUUCCUACAAUGAAUAAAAAUCACACAUAAAGUUUAGCUAGAGAAAUAACUCAUCCAAUGACUACAAGAGGCCCAUGUUGCCUUUAUUCUGAAGCUACUGAUACUGGGAAUUUGUAGAGUUUUGCCUAGAACAUUCUGACUUCCCAAGCCACAUCACAGAGAUAUCAGGCAACGGAGAGCAGUGCCAUCUGUCAGUCCCUGGAGCCAUCAUCAAAUAGGAGCUAUGCAAGCCCAAGAGUUUUUGGCUGGAAUAGGGGAAGUUCACAGAAACAGAUUUUUCUUCAUUUUUGUUCUCAUGUUUUCGAACUCAGGAAUCUUCAAAGGAAAUGGAAGAAAGCAUGAAACCGUGCACAAUGAAAUGAUGAAAAAUUCUGGCCAGCACACAGAAAUCAAGUUAUCACAUGGAUGGGAAAGUUUUCUAAUAUGAGCACUAUCUUCUGUUUUGUUUCUCUCCCCAGCAUUUCCUGCUGCCUUCAGUUGACAACCCUAUUUACAUCGCUUCUGAGAAGCUCAAGCUCAAAAAGACUGUUACGGAGACUUAGAAAUUAUGCCCACUUCAAUCUGGCUUCAAUCAACAGUCUUUGGAAUUAGCUCUCAAAAGAAACUGUAAUUAUGAACAGCACCCAUUCAAGGAACAUUUAUAAGUCCUUAUCUCACUUGACUGCCUUGCACACUUAGAAACAACUGAACAAUCUUCUGGAAGCAUCUUUUUUUGUGUGUGGUAGUCAUAUACAAUUAUAACUUAGCUUUACUUCUGUGAAUUUUUAAAAUCUCUGUCUUUCCCUAUGUCCUACUAAAGUGUAAAGUCAAUGAGGGCAGAGAUCCUGUCUUCUUUUUUUUAUGAGGGCAUACUCAGGGCCUAAUACAGUGAGUGCCUGGCACAGAGUAGGUGCUCAAUAAAUACCUCUGCAUGAGUGAAUGCAAGUAUCACUUACCUUAUUACAUAAAAAUCAUUUUCCUACAUUGAUCUUACCCCCACAUGGUAAGCUUCCAGAUGGCAAGGAAAAGGAAUUAUUUUGUAUUUAGAGUGCCUAGCCCAGGGAUUCAAUUUUUGUAAGAAUAAAAGCUAAAACAUAUCAUUUUCCAUAAAUGUUUGCAUCAUUUUAAGACCCUUACAUGUGUGAUUUAAUCUUUCAAUGAUCUGUGAGAUUUAGAAUUUC
rnacentral:lncRNA from 1 species